UACGUAGGGUGCAAGCGUUACUCGGAAUUACUGGGCGUAAAGCGUGCGCAGGCGGUUAUGUAAGGCAGAUGUGAAAUCCCCGGGCUCAACCUGGGAACUGCAUUUGUGACUGCAUAGCUAGAGUACGGUAGAGGGGGAUGGAAUUCCGCGUGUAGCAGUGAAAUGCGUAGAUAUGCGGAGGAACACCGAUGGCGAAGGCAAUCCCCUGGACCUGUACUGACGCUCAUGCACGAAAGCGUGGGGAGCAAACAGG
rnacentral:rRNA from 1 species